GGAGGAAAGUAGGGGAUCGCAAGACCUUGCACUUUUGGAGCGGCCGAUGUCUGAUUAGCUAGUUGGUGGGGUAAUGGCCUACCAAAGCUUCGAUCAGUAGCUGGUCUGAGAGGACGGCCAGCCACACUGGGACUGAGACACGGCCCAGACUCCUACGGGAGGCAGCAGUGGGGAAUUUUGGACAAUGGGCGCAAGCCUGAUCCAGCCAUGCCGCGUGAGUGAAGAAGGCCUUCGGGUUGUAAAGCUCUUUCAGCCGGGAAGAAAAGGUUGCGAUUAAUAAUCGCGAUUUAUGACGGUACCGGAAGAAGAAGCACCGGCUAACUACGUGCCAGCAGCCGCGGUAAUACGUAGGGUGCGAGCGUUAAUCGGAAUUACUGGGCGUAAAGGGUGCGCAGGCGGUUUUGUAAGUCAGAUGUGAAAUCCCCGGGCUUAACCUGGGAACUGCGUUUGAAACUACAAAGCUA
rnacentral:rRNA from 1 species